UACGUAGGGGGCAAGCGUUGUCCGGAUUUAUUGGGCGUAAAGAGCGUGUAGGCGGCCAGGUAGGUCAGCUGUGAAAACUCGAGGCUCAACCUCGAGACGCCGGUUGAAACCAGCUGGCUAGAGUCCGGAAGAGGAGAGUGGAAUUCCUGGUGUAGCGGUGAAAUGCGCAGAUAUCAGGAAGAACACCCGUGGCUAAGGCGGCUCUCUAGUACGGUACUGACGCUGAGACGCGAAAGCGUGGGGAGCGAACAGG
rnacentral:rRNA from 1 species